rnacentral:rRNA from 1 species
GAGUAAUACAUAAGUAACCUGCCCUAGACAGGGGGAUAACUAUUGGAAACGAUAGCUAAGACCGCAUAGGUACGGACACUGCAUGGUGACCGUAUUAAAAGUGCCUCAAAGCACUGGUAGAGGAUGGACUUAUGGCGCAUUAGCUGGUUGGCGGGGUAACGGCCCACCAAGGCGACGAUGCGUAGCCGACCUGAGAGGGUGACCGGCCACACUGGGACUGAGACACGGCCCAGACUCCUACGGGAGGCAGCAUG